rnacentral:lncRNA from 10 species
CUGUUCUUCCCAGUUGUUUUUGUUCAAGUUUACGAUACGAACGGAAAUAUUUUGAGGUGGAUAAGGGGCUGUAAGAGAGAGAAUUUUCAUUUUCAAGUAUUUUUUAAUUCAAUUAGAGUGAAUACUUAAUCUCUUAAUGAGUCAGGUACACAAGCAGAUUUUUAAAAGUGGAAUUUAAUUUUACUUCUGAUACACAGACAAAUUUACAUCAAGAUAAGCUGUGUUUUUUUCCAUAUACAUACUUCUAACAUUUUGUGGAUGAUGUAUACCUAUCAACAUACCACUAGUCACACUUCAAAUAUAUUAACUUACAAUAUUAUGCUUGUUGAAGUGGUAAUUCAACCACUUCUAAAAGCAGAGUAUAUAAAUAUUUUUCAGUUUAUCGUAAUUCCACUUACAAAAAAAUGUAUCUCUGUUCCUGGAUUUUUAUUACAAAAAAACCAAAACAAAACAAGUAUAGUGUACUUAUAGCUAUGAAGAUGAAAAUACUCCAUGUGACAUAGUUGCACCUACAAGAGUUGCAUACAUGUGUUGCCUUUAGAGAUGUUAACACACAUGUUAGAAAUAUAGCUUCACUCCUCACCUCCCUAAAAUGAAACAUAUAAACUCAAAAUGAGUUUACAAAUUAUGGAAGCACACUUUACUUACAGGGAGAAAAUUAUGAAGACGCACUGCGUAGUCUCUGCCUGUAACAGUUUCUACUUGUUCUUCAAAUAGCAGUUCCAUUAUCACCUCUUCCAUGAACUUUUUUGUUAAUUUUUAUUUUGAGACAGUAUCUCUCUCUGUUGCCCAGGCUAGAGUGCAAUGACGUGGUCUCGGCUCACUGCAACCUCCGCCUCCUGGGUUCAAGCAGUUCUCCUGCCUCAGUCUCCCGAGUAGCUGGGAUUACAGGCACCAGCCACCAUGCCCAGCUAAUAUUUGUAUUCUUAGUAGAGAUGGGGUUUCACCACGUUGGCUAGGCUGGUCUCAAACUCCUGACCUCAGGUGAUCCACCUGCCUCGGCCUCCCAAAGUGCUGGGAUUACAGGCAUGAGCCACCGUGCUAGGCCCCAUGAGCUUCUAAUAAAAAUUUAUCUCUCCUUCCUUUGUGUUGUUAAAUAACUUUGUACCUCUGUUAUAAUAUUUAUCUCAUUCUGCCUUGUGUUAGUGCCAUUCGUGUAUUAUGAGUACCAAUUUUUGAGCACAAGGAUCCUGUCUCAUCAGUCUUUGUCUUCAUGUCUCAGUACUGAGAACAACUUCCAGGUAGAAGGUGCUCAAUUAAUGUUUUUCUACUUACAUUGAAUAAUGAAAAACAUAAAUAGAAUCUUAACUGUUGACAUUAGGUGAAUUAGUGAUUUAGCUGAAAUAGUUUCCUGGUCUUAGACUAAUGAAUAAGAAUCAUGACAUCUUAGAAUUUCAAAUUGUCAAGACCUUAGAAGUAAUCUAUCAUAAUCCCUUCCUGAUGCUCAUCAGAAUGGCCUCUCCAGCAUUCCUAUUGAGUAUUCAGGCAUACUAGGCACAUACGAUUUUGCUUAUAUUGGUGAUGGGUACUUAGUAGAUAUAUGCUUAUUUUAUCCAUUCAUUAUUCCAUCCAUCCAUCCAUCCAUCCAUCCAUCCAUCCAUCCACCCAUCCAUCUAUCCAUCCAUCCAUGCAACUAUCCAUCCAUCCUACAAUAGUGCUUCAUAUUAGUGGUGCUACUAAAAUCAAGCACCGCAAGUUUUAGAUACAUUUGAAUUUCAAUAUUUUCCUUUAAUAAUCUGAUAAUCUGUACUAGAAUGUCUUCACUCUGUUUUCUGCCAUAGGGUCACUUGUCAGCAAUAACUGAUGUCUACUAGAUCUGGGAGACUUACCAGUUCUGUGCUGUUUGGGUUCGUGACUGACACCACUGUACUCAACAAGGGUACUUUUAUUAAAAGUUGCCUCAGAUACCAGCUGAAAGGUGAUAUUACUAUAACACAUUCCUGGCAGCCAGUGAUUAAAUACUGUUUUUCCCUUAAAGAAAUCUGUGAAGAGAAAAUCAAUUACAUGAAAAAUAUGGUCUUCUAAACAUCACACACUUCUGGAAAGUUUGAAACAAUUAUGGCUAAACAUUCACAAAAUAAUAUUUCCUUCAACUACUGUUAUGGGCAGUAAUAAAGAGUUAGUAGAAGGCUAGAGAUGAAACGUUGAAUGUCUAGACUCAAUCCUGAAGGGCUUUUUCUGACAAAAUUCCUAAGCAGAUCAAACACAAUUGGAGUUAACCUUUUUGUGAUAGGAACUUUUGGGGUAUGUAUUAAUUGAAGGAGAUAAUAUAAAGAAAUUGUAGAGGUUAAGUUUACACUGGCCAUUUACUUUAAGAUAAAAAUCCAAGGUAUUUUGCCACCUUAUGACCUAAAAAAAGAGCAAUUUUCCAAGAAAAGUUUUCAUUUAGAAAAACUAGCCUAAUUUAAAACUGGUUUAUUUGCCAGUUUGCAGACAGAACCUGCCCAAAAAAAGAAAUAAUAAAAGUUUGGAUUCCACUUAGAAAACUUUAAAGAGAAUAACAAUAAACUAAAAAUCCAAUCCAACUCAAAAGAAAUGAGAGAACAAAACUAAAAGUACCACUUAUUGAAUUGAAAUCUAAAAAUAGUUUGAAAAAGUAAUUGACUUAAGAAUGGGAUUAUAUUAAUUAUUUUAAAAUUUAUGAUUGUUAACAAAAGUUUCAGUAAUUGCUUUUUAAUCAUUCAUAAAUAUAUUUGCAUGUGAUCUAUAAACAAAUAACUUUCCAUUUAUUAAUUUGCAGAUUAUGUUUUCAUUGUAA